CAUGCAAGUCGAGCGAACAGACGAGGAGCUUGCUCCUCUGACGUUAGCGGCGGACGGGUGAGUAACACGUGGAUAACCUACCUAUAAGACUGGGAUAACUUCGGGAAACCGGAGCUAAUACCGGAUAACAUGUUGAACCGCAUGGUUCAACAGUGAAAGACGGUCUUGCUGUCACUUAUAGAUGGAUCCGCGCCGCAUUAGCUAGUUGGUAAGGUAACGGCUUACCAAGGCAACGAUGCGUAGCCGACCUGAGAGGGUGAUCGGCCACACUGGAACUGAGACACGGUCCAGACUCCUACGGGAGGCAGCAGUAGGGAAUCUUCCGCAAUGGGCGAAAGCCUGACGGAGCAACGCCGCGUGAGUGAAGAAGGUCUUCGGAUCGUAAAACUCUGUUAUUAGGGAAGAACAAAUGUGUAAGUAACUAUGCACGUCUUGACGGUACCUAAUCAGAAAGCCACGGCUAA
rnacentral:rRNA from 2 species